rnacentral:rRNA from 1 species
AGUUCUCCCUUAACCUCUUUCCCCCCAGACAACCCUCAGCCUAAGUGUAACAGGUUAAGAACUAUUUAAAGGGGGUACAGCCCCUUUAAAAAAGGACACAACCUCUACCAGCGGAUAACCCCACCAUACACCAAGCCCCGUGGGCCUUAAAGCAGCCACCCCCAAAGAUUGCGUCAAAGCUCUACCAACCAAAAACCCGAAAACUAAUGCGACUCCCUACACUCACAGCAAGCUAACCUAUAAUAAUAGAUGAAUCAAUGCUAGAACGAGUAACCAGGACACCACGUCCCCCCAAGCGCCAGCUUACACACCAUUAACAGUAGGACCUCAAUAACAACACCCCUCGACCAAACAUUGAACACACCCUGUUAAUCCAACCCAGGAGCGCACAAUGGAGUGAUCAAAAUCUGCAAAAGGAACUCGGCAAGCCCAAGACCCGACUGUUUACCAAAAACAUAGCCUUCAGCCAAACAAGUAUUGAAGGUGACGCCUGCCCAGUGACACCACGUUUAACGGCCGCGGUAUCCUAACCGUGCAAAGGUAGCGCAAUCAAUUGUCCCAUAAAUCGAGACCUGUAUGAACGGCUAAACGAGGUCUUAACUGUCUCCUGCAGACAAUCAGUGAAACUGAUCCCUCUGUACAAAAGCAGAGAUAAACACAUAAGACGAGAAGACCCUGUGGAACUUCAAAAUCAAUAGCCACCCCACCCAACCCACAAACCCACCUGGGCUCGCCACCCAACCCAAAAUAUGGCUAACAUUUA